UCUUCAACCCGGAGGAGGCGGUGCGCGCCAUCACGGGCCUUCGCUCCUCGCCGCACCUCUGUGACGUCAACUACGUGAAGUACGUGCAGGACCGGCUCCCGCCGGCCAGCCAGGCGGGCGUAUCGCCGCUGGUGCGCGCCGAGCCGGUGCCGGAGCUCUCGCCGGUGCGGCCGCCGGCGCCGGCCGCGGCGCCGCCCACCGGCACCCGGCACGGCCACCACGAGGUUUUCAUCGGCAACUGGCCGCACGACCUCGAGCGCGACGACGUGUUCCAGCUGUGCGCCAAGUACAACGUCGAUGCGGUGGACGUGCGCCUCUACAAGAAGGAGUUGAAGUGCUAUGCGUUCGUGGUGGUCUCCAGCGCCGAGGACGUGCGCCGAGCCAUCGAGCUGCUCGACGGCGGCAAGGUGGCCGGACGGCAGAUCGUGGUCAAGGAUUCACGCAACAGCCUCGCCAAGCAGGAGCCGGCAGCGCAGCCACAGGAGCAGAAGCCG